GUCAACACCACCUGCUGUUUCCUUCGCACAGGAGGUGGUGGGAGGGGAGGCGCUUCCAGAUCUCCUGACACAAAGGGCUGCCCACCUCCCUGGUCCUUCACCGGAAGCUUCAGGAGGCAGACACACACACAGUAGCCAGCCACUCUCUCCAGGGCACGGGGAGCGGGACAAAAAGCAAUUUCGAGAUUUGUACCGUGCUGGCCAGGUCCUUCAAGAAUGACUACACUGUCACCACAAUGGUAACAAUGGGGAACCCGCCGCCCACGGCUCUUGCACAGCAGGUAAUGCUGGAGUGCAGAUGACUGGAGGGACCCCCAGAGCUGCCCAGGCACUUCCCGGUGGCUGCUUCCUUUGCACUUUGCACCGACAGCUGCACUUACAAUAAAAACGCCCUCCCUUCCACGGCCCCCUGGGCCCUCCCAUCUCUCCUUCCUUUUCCAUGCUCUCCUGGCUGUUGACUGUUUUCCACUGAAGGAGCCCAGACCGGUGUCCAGCUCUCCCCACCUCACCUCUUCCUCCCUCAGUCCGGGGCAUCCGCGGCUCACAGGUAAUAAAUUUGCUUCGUGUAACCUGUUGAGUAUGAAUGCGUUCUGUCUCACGGGACACAGACUCGUUGGUAACCAGCACACAUCGAACCUGCUCUACAGCCACCCUUAACUAACUGGGGAUAUGUGCCUCAGCCUUCUGUCUCCAGAGGACGAAUUCCGACUCCUCAGUGGAAGUGAGCCUCAGUGACCCUUAGUGGUGAUCAGCUCAAAAAUGCCCCCUUUGGUUGGUCCUCCCGGUCUUCCUCGCUGUCUCUCACUCGCUGUCUCUCUCCUCCUCUGCUUCUGGGAAUCACCUCCCAGGUCAAGUACCUGCAUCUAAGCUCUUGACUCCAACUCUAAGUAAGUCAAUAUUCAAAAUAUUUGUUGAACAGAAAAUGAAAUACCGCAUAUUCUCACUCAUAGGCGGGUGAUGAAAAAUGAGAACACAUGGACACAGGGAGGGGAGUACUAAACACUGGGGUCUA